ACAACGAAGAGUUUGAUCCUGUCUCAGGAUGAACGCUAGCGACAGGCCUAACACAUGCAAGUCGAGGGGUAACAGGGGAGCUUGCUUCCGCUGACGACCGGCGCACGGGUGAGUAACACGUAUGCAACCUACCUGUAAGAGGGGGAUAACCCGGAGAAAUUCGGACUAACACCGCAUAAUACCGAUUGGAGGCAUCUUCGAUCGUUUAAAUAUUUAUAGCUUACAGAUGGGCAUGCGUAUGAUUAGCUAGUUGGUGGGGUAACGGCCCACCAAGGCUGCGAUGUCUAGGGGAACUGAGAGGUUGGUCCCCCACACUGGAACUGAG
rnacentral:rRNA from 1 species